AUGUACGGCAAAGGCAAGAGUAACAGCAGCGCCCUCCCGUCCGACAGCCAGGCCCGGGAGAAGUUAGCACUUUACGUAUAUGAAUAUCUGCUCCAUGUAGGAGCUCAGAAAUCGGCCCAAACAUUUUUAUCAGAGAUAAGAUGGGAAAAAAACAUCACAUUGGGGGAACCACCAGCAUUCUUACAUUCUUGGUGGUGUGUAUUUUGGGAUCUCUACUGUGCAGCUCCAGAAAGACGGGAAACAUGUGACAUUCAAGUGAAGCAAAAGCCUUCCAUGAUUAUAGCGCUGCAGCAGCUCCCAGCCCAGUGCUAGGAAACGUUCCUCCAGGAGAUGGCAUGCUAGUAGGUCCUGUACCACCAGGGUUCUUUCAGCCUUUUAUGUCACCUCGGUACCCUGGAGGUCCAAGGCCCCCACUGAGGAUACCUAACCAGGCACUUGGAGGUGUCCCAGGAAGUCAGCCAUUACUUCCAAGUGGAAUGGACCCAACUCGACAACAAGGACAUACAAAUAUGGGUGGGCCAAUGCAGAGAAUGACUCCUCCAAGAGGAAUGGUGCCCUUAGGACCACAGAACUAUGGAGGUGCAAUGAGACCCCCCCCGAAUGCUUUAGGUGGCCCCGGAAUGCCUGGAAUGAACAUGGGUCCAGGUGGUGGUAGACCUUGGCCAAACCCGACAAAUGCCAAUUCAAUACCAUACUCUUCAGCAUCUCCUGGGAAUUAUGUAGGUCCUCCAGGAGGUGGAGGGCCACCAGGAACACCCAUCAUGCCUAGUCCAGCAGAUUCAACCAACUCUGGAGACAACACGUAUACUUUAAUGAAUGCAGUACCUCCUGGACCUAACAGGCCUAAUUUUCCAGUGGGCCCCGGGUCAGAUGGUCCCAUGGGUGGAUUAGGAGGAAUGGAGUCACAUCACAUGAAUGGCUCUUUAGGCUCAGGAGAUAUGGACAGUAUUUCCAAGGAUUCUCCCAAUAAUAUGAGCCUGAGUAAUCAACCGGGCACUCCAAGGGAUGAUGGCGAAAUGGGGGGAAAUUUCUUAAAUCCUUUUCAGAGUGAGAGUUACUCCCCUAGCAUGACAAUGAGUGUGUGAUCCAUUACCAAGUCUCCUCAUGAAAACCACAGUGAGUCAGCCUUUCACAGAACUACUACGGAAGAAAAUUAUUCAUCACAGUGUACAGUUAAACAAAGGAAUCUCAGUCACACCAAACCAACCUUUUUAUUUCCUGCUCUCUCCCCUAUUUUUUGAAGAAAGCGGGUCCAAACGUGAUUCAAACAACUGUACAGAGUGGCA